AUUGAACGCUGGCGGCAGGCCUAACACAUGCAAGUCGAGCGAGCGGCGGACGGGUGAGUACUGUAUGGGGCCUGCCCGAUAGAGGGGGAUAACUACUGGAAACGGUAGCUAAUACCGCAUACUAUCGGAUAACCCAUAUGGGAUUAGCUAGUAGGUGAGGGAAUGGAUCACCUAGGCGACGAUCCCUAGCUGGUCUGAGAGGAUGAUUAGCCCCACUGGGACGGCGCCACGGCCCAGACUCCUACGGAGGCAGCAGUGGGGAAUAUUGCACAAUGGGCGCAAGCCUGAUGCAGCCAUGCCGCGUGUGUGAAGAAGGCCUUCGGGUUGUACAGCACUUUCAGCGAGGAGGCGUUACUCGCAGAAGAAGCACCGGCUAACUCCGUGCCAGCAGCCGCGGUAAUAC
rnacentral:rRNA from 1 species